GUCGAGCGAACAGAUAAGGAGCUUGCUCCUUUGACGUUAGCGGCGGACGGGUGAGUAACACGUGGGUAACCUACCUAUAAGACUGGGAUAACUUCGGGAAACCGGAGCUAAUACCGGAUAACAUUUGGAACCGCAUGGUUCUAAAGUGAAAGAUGGUUUUGCUAUCACUUAUAGAUGGACCCGCGCCGUAUUAGCUAGUUGGUAAGGUAACGGCUUACCAAGGCGACGAUACGUAGCCGACCUGAGAGGGUGAUCGGCCACACUGGAACUGAGACACGGUCCAGACUCCUACGGGAGGCAGCAGUAGGGAAUCUUCCGCAAUGGGCGAAAGCCUGACGGAGCAACGCCGCGUGAGUGAUGAAGGGUUUCGGCUCGUAAAACUCUGUUAUUAGGGAAGAACAAACGUGUAAGUAACUGUGCACGUCUUGACGGUACCUAAUCAGAAAGCCACGGCUAACUACGUGCCAGCAGCCGCGGUAAUACGUAGGUGGCAAGCGUUAUCCGGAAUUAUUGGGCGUAAAGCGCGCGUAGGCGGUUUCUUAAGUCUGAUGUGAAAGCCCACGGCUCAACCGUGGAGGGUCAUUGGAAACUGGGAAACUUGAGUGCAGAAGAGGAAAGUGGAAUUCCAUGUGUAGCGGUGAAAUGCGCAGAGAUAUGGAGGAACACCAGUGGCGAAGGCGACUUUCUGGUCUGUAACUGACGCUGAUGUGCGAAAGCGUGGGGAUCAAACAGGAUUAGAUACCCUGGUAGUCCACGCCGUAAACGAUGAGUGCUAAGUGUUAGGGGUUUCCGCCCCUUAGUGCUGCAGCUAACGCAUUAAGCA
rnacentral:rRNA from 1 species